GUUCCUUCAAUACCUAGUUUAUUGAGACUUUUUAACAUGAAAGGAUGUUGAAUUUUAUCAAAAGAGUUUUUGGCAUCUAUUCGGGUAAUUAUGACAUGUUAUUGGCUCUUGCUUCUUUAUCUACCUUGCCACUCUGUGCCUUUUAAUUGAGGUGCUUAACCCAUUUACAUUCAAGGUUAGUAUUGAUAUGUGUAUAUUUGAUCCUGUCAUUGUGUUGUAAGCUGGUUCUUAUGCUGGCUUGUUUGUGUGGUUGCUUUAUAGUGUCACUGGUUUGUGUACUUAAGUGUGGUAUUGUAUUGGCUGGUAAUGGUCUUUCCUUUCCAUAUUUAAUGCGCCUUUCAGUAGCUCUUGUAAGGCAAGUCUGGUGGUAAUGAAUUCCCUCAGCAUUUGCUUGUCUGGAAAGGCUGGCUGUAUAUGGAAUUCUUGGUUGGAGAUUUUUUUCUUUAAGAAUGUUGAACAUAGCUGCCCCCUGCCCCAGCCCCAAUCUCUUCUGGCUUACAGGGUUUCUGCUGAAAGUUUCACUGUUAGUCUGAUGGUAUUCCCUUAGUAGGUGACCUGCUCUUUCUCUCUAGACACCUUUAACAUUUUUUCUUUAAUUUUUGACCUUGGAAAGUCUGAUGAUUAUGUGUCUUGGGGAUGAUCUUCUUGGGUAGUAUCUUGCAGAGGUUCUCUGCAUUUCUUGAAUUUGUAUGUUAGCCUCUCUAGUGAGGGUGGGGAAGUUUUCAUAGACCAUAUCCUGAAAUAUGAUU
rnacentral:lncRNA from 1 species